AUAGAACAGUUCUAUAAUACUCACCACCAUGUUCAAGUUGCUGAUUCGUCUAGCGUUGCUGCUAGCUGCAAUAAUGUUGCCAGCAUUGGUUGUUGGUACCUCGUGUAAAGCACAGGCUGGGGCUACAGUUAAGGACCCCCCUCCCCACGGCCAGUAGCGCACCUCCACCCGCUGCCACCACUAUCAUUCGAAAUACACCAUUCACAAUAUCACUCUUCAUAGAACACAUUACAAAUGAAUUGAAUUAUCAAUAAGGAAAACAUAUAUCAUAGAGUUUAAUGGAAUAAUAAAAAUUUAAUGAAACAAA